AGUGAACGCUGGCGGUAGGCCUAACACAUGCAAGUCGAACGGCAGCACAGUAAGAGCUUGCUCUUACGGGAGGCGAGUGGCGGACGGGUGAAGUAUACAGCGGACUCUACUUUUUCGGGGGGGAUAACGUAGGGAAACUUACGCUAAUACCGCAUACGACCUACGGGUGAAAGCAGGGGCUCUUCGGACCUUGCGCGAUUGAAUGAGCCGAUGUCGGAUUAGCUAGUUGGCGGGGUAAAGGCCCACCAAGGCGACGAUCCGUAGCUGGUCUGAGAGGAUGAUCAGCCACACUGGAACUGAGACACGGUCCAGACUCCUACGGGAGGCAGCAGUGGGGAAUAUUGGACAAUGGGCGCAAGCCUGAUCCAGCCAUACCGCGUGUGUGAAGAAGGCCUUCGGGUUGUAAAGCACUUUUGGUGGGAAAGAAAAGAAGAAGGUUAAUACCUCGCUGUUCUGACGGUACCCAAAGAAUAAGCACCGGCUAACUUCGUG
rnacentral:rRNA from 1 species